GACGAACGCUGGCGGCGUGCCUAAUACAUGCAAGUCGAACGAGUGGCGGACGGGUGAGUAAUGUCUGGGAAACUGCCUGAUGGAGGGGGAUAACUACUGGAAACGGUAGCUAAUAACGCCUACCAUCGGCUGUGCCCAGAUGGGAUUAGCUAGUAGGUGGGGUAAAGGCUCACCAAGGCGACGAUCCCUAGCUGGUCUGAGAGGAUGACCAGCCACACUGGAACUGCGACACGGUCCAGACUCCUACGGGAGGCAGCAGUGGGGAAUAUUGCACAAUGGGCGCAAGCCUGAUACAGCCAUGCCGCGUGUAUGAAGAAGGCCUUCGGGUUGUAAAGUACUUUCAGAGGGGAGGCGUUACCCGCAGAAGAAGCACCGGCUAACUCCGUGCCAGCAGCCGCGGUAAUAC
rnacentral:rRNA from 1 species